rnacentral:tRNA from 1 species
GCCUGGGUGGCUGAGUCAGCUAAGCAUCUGACUUCGGCUCAGGUUAUGAUCUCACUGUUUGUGAGUUCGAGCCCCGCAUCAGGCU